GGGCCACUAGCUCAGACGGUUAGAGCGCUGCCCUGAUAAGGCAGAGGUCACUGGUUCAAGUCCAGUGUGGCCCACCA
rnacentral:tRNA from 1 species